rnacentral:rRNA from 1 species
UACGUAGGGUGCGAGCGUUAAUCGGAAUUACUGGGCGUAAAGCGUGCGCAGGCGGUUAUGUAAGACAGUUGUGAAAUCCCCGGGCUCAACCUGGGAAUUGCAUCUGUGACUGCAUAGCUAGAGUACGGUAGAGGGGGAUGGAAUUCCGCGUGUAGGCAGUGGAAAUGCGUAGAUAUGACGGAGGAACACCGAUGGCGAAGGCAAUCCCCUGGACCUGUACUGA